rnacentral:misc_RNA from 1 species
ACCAAUCCUCCAUUGUUUCCAACACCAGCGCGAAAAACUUCUUCCAGCGUCCCCUUCAAGCGACUCACUCCAGAGGAACUGGCCAUACGACGAGAGAAGGGACUAUGCUUCCAAUGUGACGAAAAGUACUCGAGAGGACAUAAGUGUUCCUCUUCCCUUUUCCUACACAUUGUCGAAGAUGAUGACACGACUUCUGAGUCUCACGAGCAACAGCUUACCUUGCCGGAACUCGUUCCAGACCCACCACCAGCACAACUGAGCUUUAAUGCGUUGUCAGGUCAGGUGGUACCGGAAACACUGCGCAUGCAGGGAUACAUUCGCGGACAACUAGUAAGCAUAUUGAUAGAUGGAGGUAGCACGCACAAUUUCGUGCAUCA